AUUAAUUUGGCAGAAUAAGUGCCUUAAGUUUAGAACUUAAUAAUAAAAUUUAAAUAAUUUUAAUUAAUA
rnacentral:tRNA from 1 species